GACGAACGCUGGCGGCGUGCUUAACACAUGCCAGUCGAACGGGCCUUGUCCCCUUUUUUUUUGGGGGUGGGGUUAGUGGCGAACGGGUGAGUAACACGUGAGUAACCUGCCCCUCACUUCUGGAUAACCGCUUGAAAGGGUGGCUAAUACGGGGUGUUCUGGCCUGCUCGCAUGGGUGGGUUUGGAAAGAUUCGACCGGUUUGGUUGUUUUGGUGGGGGAUGGGCUCGCGGCCUAUCAGCUUGUUGGUGGGGUGAUGGCCUGCCAAGGCUUUGACGGGUAGCCGGCCUGAGAGGGUGAGCGGUCACACUGGGACUGAGACACGGCCCAGACUCCUACGGGAGGCAGCAGUGGGGAAUAUUGCACAAUGGGCGCAAGCCUGAUGCAGCGACGCCGCGUGAGGGAUGGAGGCCUUCGGGUUGUGAACCUCUUUCGCCAGUGAAGAAGGUCCUCUUUGUGGUGGGGUUGACGGUAGCUGGGUUAAUGAAGCGCCGGCUAACUACGUG
rnacentral:rRNA from 1 species